GCUGAUGCUAUGGGUCUUGUUACUUCAAGAGUUUGAUUUGGAUAUUGUGGACCGGAAGGGUAGUAAAAACUAAGUGGCGGACCACUUGUCCCGCUUGGAGGAGGAAGGGAGGCCUCGUGAUGGCCUAGAGAUCAAUGAUUCAUUUCCCGAUAAGCAACUCCUUUCUAUGUCAGUGAAUGGUAUGCCAUGGUUUGUGGACGUUGCUAAUUUCCUUGUGACUGGUAUAAUCCCGUGUGAGCUCUCUUCUAACCAAAGAAAGAAGCUCAAACAGGACAGUUUGGACUUCUAUUGGGAUGAGCCACACUUGUUCAAGAUCUGCACGGAUGGUGUGAUCUGAAGGUGUGUUCCGGAGGAGGAGCAAUUGAGCAUCUUAGAGGCUUGUCAUUCCUCUCCCUAUGGUGGUCAUCAAGGUGGGGCAAGGACCACUUCGAAGGUUCUUAGUUGUGGGUUUACUGGCCAACUUUGUACAAAGAUGCAAGUGAAAUUGUGAAGAGAUGCGACGAAUGUCAAAGAGCGGGUGGAAUUUCGAAGAAAGAUGAGAUGCCUCUCAAUACCAUUCUUGAAGUUAAUAUUUUUGAUGCACGGGGCAUUGAUUUAUUGGGCCCAUUUGUUAGUUCGUGUGGGAACACAUACAUUCUAGUGGCAGUUGACUAUGUUUCAAAGUGGGUAGAAGCCGUGGCUUUGCCCAACAAUGAGGCCCGGAGUGUUGUUGCAUUUUUAAAGAAGAGCAUUUUUACUAGGUUUGGCACUCUCUGAGCAAUCAUAAGUGAUAGGGAGUCUCAUUUUUGUAAUCGAGCUUUUGACACUUUGCUUGAUCAUCCUCGGGCGAGUGGCCAAGUUGAAGUCUUAAACAGAGAAAUCAAGAGUAUAUUGUCAAAGACGGUCAAUGCAAAUAGGACCGAUUGGUCAAAGAAAUUGGAUGAUGCUCUAUGGGCUUAGGACUGCUUACAAGACUCUGAUUGGUAUGUCUCCGUACCGGUUGGUGUUUGGGAAAACUUGCCAUCUAUCGGUUGAGUUAGAGCACAAGGCCAUGUGGGCUUUGAGGAAGCUGAAUCUUGAAUGGGAUGUGGCAGCAAAUCUUCGUGUUGAGCAACUUAGUGAGCUUGAUGAAUUCCGAUUCCAUGCCUACUCUAGUUCCUCCUUGUACAAGGACAAGAUGAAGUACAUUCAUGAUAAGUAUGCUCGUGGCAAGGAUUUCAAAGUGGGUGAUUUGGUUAUCUUGUUCAAUUCUCGGUUAUAUCUGUUUCUGGGAAAGCUUACGUCGAAAUGGAGUGGACCUUUUGAACUGGUGUUUGUGACUCCUUUUGGUUCACUUGACUUGAAAAACAAAAAUUGAGAGGUCUUCAGAGUUAAUGAGCACAGAGUCAAGCACUACCUUGGGAAGAUUGAUGACAACCACGUGGUGGCAUUGCUCCAUCUAAAGUGAUUUGAUGGUAACCUGCGUCAUGUCGCGAUGUUAAGUCAGGCGCUUCUUGGGAGGCAACCCAUAUGUCUUUCUUUUUGUUUUUCUUUGAUAUUCUUUUUAGUAUAGGAUUUGCUUUUGGUCUAACUGGUUGUAAGAUGUGUGUAGGAUUGUUUUGAUGCAGUGCAAAACUAAACUAGAAAAAAAUGAUGCAUCCUCUGAAGUUUGGACUGCUGCCGCAAUGGCCUUGUUGCAGGGGCAAAAUUCAUUGCGGUCUGCAAUGUUGAUUGGUGAAAAGUGGAGGUUCUCUGAAGAUUGUUACCGCGGCUGCAAUGCAUUUUAUGCGGUCCGCGGUGCCCAACGGGGCCGUAGAGCAUUUCUUGCAGACCGUGGUGCCAUCCUUGCCAGUGAUUCAUGUAUUUGAGUACCACGGACCGUGGUGCAUUUUAUGCGGUCCGCGGUGGGUAGGUAACAUGGGCCCCAGGUCCUUUUUCUAUAAAUAGGACUUUAGGCCUUCUUUUACACUUUUCGAUCCUUUGCUUUCCAAACAGAAAAAAAUUACUGUUCAUCAAGCCCUAAUUGUGCAAAUUCAAUCAUGAAUCCUCAUUCAUCUUACUGCAUCUCAUAACUGGUAUUUUUAAUCUUUCCCUAAUUUUUAACUUUGUUUUAUUUUCUUUUAAUUAGUUAGUUGUACUUCUUUUUCUUCCCAUUUUCUUUCAAUUUGUAGCGUAGGGUGCUUAAUGAUGUUUAGAUUAGGGUUAGUUAGUGAAGAAUCAUGAUUGCACACCUAGUGGGUUAAUGAUAUGUGAAUUUAGGCUAACAAUGCACCAAAAAUUGAAACCCUAGAUUGGUAUUGCUACUUAUGACUUAUCGCGGUUCGGCGGCGGUGUCUCUCUGUGGUCCACAAUGCCACUUUGUGCGGACCGCGGUGGUAAAACUUCAGAGAGUUGAAUGUUGAGGACCAUGACCGCAGUGGAUUUUCUAUGGUCCGCGAUGCCUUACCGCGACCGCACUACAAUUCUUGCGGUCAGAGUGACCUUUAUUAGAGAGUGGGUAUUCUGACCCCACCUCAAUGCGGGACAGCGAUGCCAUUUUGUGCGGUCCAUGGUGGCCUCUUUGCGGCCGCAUUGCAUUUUUUAUGGACCACGGUCUGCAGUUCUGCUUUUAAUUGUCAACUGUCUGCAAUUAUAAUCUUCACUGACUCGUCUGAUACUGUGAUACUAACAAGUUUACCUGAAUUCCACUUGCAGAUAAUAGUUAAAUCACGAGGUGGUGGUGGAAAACAAAAGGGAAAAGGAGAGUCUUCUCGGGAUAGGGGACAAGGUAUGAUCAGAUUUACCCUCCAAGUCCGACAGGCAAUCAAGGACACCAGGAAGUCAAUAAAGGCUGCGGAUAGAGCUGCUUCCCAUUCGGGAAGUGAGUAUUUGCCCUCCCGAGAGGCAUCCAACUCCGAGUCAGUGCCGGAGCAUGUCCUUGACUGGUCGGAGAUGCGGAGAUUGAGAGAUACACCUCCGGGCACUCCUACUGCUCAAGCUUCAGUUACAGUUUCUUCUGAGUCAUCUAAGGGCUCAGCUGAGGGCAGUGACACUGCAACAUCCACUUCCCAUACUGGUUCAUCACUUGGAGAGGAUCCUGUCGAUGAUGAGGUUCCAGAUGAAGAGGGAGGGGGUAUGGAGAGAACUAGAAACCCCAAGGUGUGGAAAAGGAGAUUCGUCAGUGAGAUUGCUUACCACAAAUUUCGAGAGUGGUGGACCGAGAGGAAGUUGAUAAUUGAAUGGAGAUUCAUUGACAAGGAUCUUCUGCCUCACAAUCCUAAUGUGCAGAGGCAAUUCAGAGAGAGACCGGGAUGGAUUACUUUACAGGUAAUGUUGAGGAGGCAAAUGAACACCUAGUCAAGGAGUUCUACGCUAAUGUUGUCAACAUCAAAAAGGGCACGAAAGUGACUAAGGUGCGAAACUUGACAGUGAAGUUUGAUGGCAAGACCAUCAAUGACUACCUAGGCUUUCCGGAGGAGGAUGAAACACUAUAUUUAGAAAAGGUAGCAUUGGGUGAGGAUGCCCGUCCAUGGGUAGCAGAGUACUUGGCAAUCCCAGGUACCACCCAGCAUGGUUGACAGCUAGAGUUCAAAUUCUAAGGAGAACCCUGAACUUCGAGGCAAAAGGGUGGAAGACCUUUGUUUGCAGUAGACUAGACCCCACCACUCAUGAGAACUCCCUUCCUAUCUCCCGGGAAAUUUUGGUAGCUUCAAUCAUGGCGGGGUACCCAAUCAACAUCAGGAAUGUUAUGUCCAGGAUAAUCACAAGGGUGGUAAAUGAAGGCGAUUGAUCAUACCCCUUCCCACAUUUCCUAACAAUGUACUUUGUGGAUCAAAAUGUGGAGAAAAGGAAAUUUUAUGUGAAAGUGAAACCCAGGGCACCUUUUUCCCAGUACAGCCUCAAGGGUGAUGACAACCCCAAAGAUCCUAAAGGCAAAUACACUGCUUUUAUUGGCAAGUCUGAAGAGCCAGCAGUAGUAGUAGCUUCUACUCAGCCUCCCUCAGCUACACCAGACAUUGCCCCAGGACCCUCUACUUCCACAAUUCCAGAUAUUCCCUUAUCUACAACCUACACUUUGACUGCCCACCAUUUGAGCCAAACCCUUGCCAGUAUUAACAACUGGAUGCAGACAACUACUUCUAAGUUGUCUGUGCUUUCGAGCUCGGUGGCAGCCCUGUCCGUACCCCCACAACCACAGGUCCUAGCCUCAGUGGUGGAGACUCUCAAAGAGCUUCUGGACAACUAUAAGAAGCUCCUGGAGAACCAGAAGUUAAUAUUGGAUGCUGUGGUGCUCAUGGGAAAGCAUUGAAGGAGCUCACAACGGAAAUAAAGAAGCUGAGAAAGACUCGAGCAUCAAAAGAGUUAGUGAUGGAGGUGAGGGUAGAAGUGGAGAAGAUGAAGGCUGCUGAUCACUUGUCAUUGGAGAUGUUAUUGCAUGACCCGAUUCCAGCAGCCCAACCUGAGCUGGAACAGGAGAUAGAGAGGCCAGCAAAGAGGAAGAGGGUGAUUCCCCGAGCUGAUGAUGUUGUGAUAGGGUUGGAGGACCCGCAGGGAGGUUCCUCUAGCCAGCCUCAGGACCCAGUGCAGGCCCAGGUCCCAGUGCAGACACAGGUUACAGGGAUCCAGUCACAGGUUCCCGAGCAGUCUAAGGACCCAGGGACCCAGGCUCAUGAUCCUAUGCAGAUGUAGGGCCAAUAGGGAGUUUCUCUUUACUCUCUAUCUUUUAUUGAUUUUAUUUUGGUUAGUUAGCAUUGAGGACAAUGAUAACUUUCAUUUGAGGGGGUAGCCCUAUUUGGAUGAUAUGGUGCUGUAAAUAUGACACUAUUUUCUUUUUAUUAUGCUUUGAUUUUCACUUUUGGUAUGUACAUAAUUUUACCAUUUUAUUUCACUUUUCGUACUUUACUACUUUGGUCUGUAUAUAAAGUUACUUUCUGAUGUAUAUAUUCAUUCCCCCUUAUGUAUUUUCGACUAAAUCCCCUCUUGUACAUAUUCAUUCUACUUUCCGCAUUUUUUCUUACAUAGCUUCUUAUUUUAUUUUGAUAGCUUCUUAUUUUGAGUUUUGCGUUCAAUAAGCCUUUGGUUUUCUUAAUNNNNNNNNNNNNNNNNNNNNNNNNNNNNNNNNNNNNNNNNNNNNNNNNNNNNNNNNNNNNNNNNNNNNNNNNNNNNNNNNNNNNNNNNNNNNNNNNNNNNNNNNNNNNNNNNNNNNNNNNNNNNNNNNNNNNNNNNNNNNNNNNNNNNNNNNNNNNNNNNNNNNNNNNNNNNNNNNNNNNNNNNNNNNNNNNNNNNNNNNNNNUUUUCUUUUUGUUUUUGUGUAAAUAGUAGUUAGUGAGUAAUGGUGCCUCAAGCAAAGCUUCACUUGGGCCUAGUACAUUUGUCUUUGAUCUUAUGGUCAAAAAUUAAAUUAUUGUGUAUAGGAUGGUGAAAGUUGUGACCUUGAGACUCUUGUGUUGGCCGAUAAUCAUCAAAUGGUUUUUCGGGACCAUUCGUGUUGCUCAAAUCUCAACUAAGGUUGUUGUGGGCCCUCGACUCUGUCUUUUUAGCAAUCCUAUCGCUUGUGUGGUGAGAAUUUGAAUUGCAAGUCCAAGUCCCAUGCCAUUAGUCUAGAACUUGCGCUGAAUGUUUGUCUAGGCAAAAUCCUAAGUGUAGUUUGACUUGAUAUGUGAUUAUAGGCUCUCCUUAAUCGAAUGAUAUCUUGAAAACUUCCAUAGCUUACCAAUGAUAAUAUCCCUAGUCAACCCUUUUGAGUCAUAGCCCUUUUUCUUUCAAAAACCAUGAUACAGGACUUUACCCGUUCUAAAAAGACCCUCUCUCAGCACCCUAUCUUUCCUUAGCACAAGGCAAAAGCAUAAGUUUGGGGGGAGAGACGGGGAAUGCAACAAAGUGGUAAAAGGUACAAAAUGAAGAAAAGGAAAGGCAAUAAAAAAGAAAGAAAAUCAAAAAGUCAAAAAGAAUGAACUAUGUAGAAGAAAUGCAGGGAUUUAAUAAAAGAAAAGAGAUGAAAGGUGUGGAAAGUUUAGAAAGGAGAAAAAGGUUUGAAAAGAACAAAAAAGAGUAACAAUGUGUCUCUCUAACCCCUAAGAAAGAAGUAAAUGACUCAAAUAGUCAAGAGAAUGCGUGCCAAAAUGAAGAAAUGAAAUGCUUAAGGGAUGAUGGAACCUACUUAGAUCAAAUAUUUACUACCCUAAACCAAAAGCCUUCACUAUAUCUCCAUAAAAGCCCUGUAUGAUCUUUUGUUGAAUGAAGCUUACAUUAGUGGUGACUCACAUAAGGGGCAAGCUUAUGGUACUUAGAGCCGGACUUGUGACCUUUCUUUGAGAGAAAUGAGUGUAUUUUCCACAAUGCUCAUUUUGAGUGCUACAACCUAAAAGUGAGGUUUGCUUAAGGAAAGUUGAGGAUGUAUGAUUUUGGGUUCCACAAUGACCAAAGUAGUAGAAAGAGUUUCCUUGAUGAGUUGAGUCAAUUCUUGAUGCUCUUGUGUCGCACUAGAACCAUGGUGCUUAAAAGGUUGAAUGUUUUAAUGAUUCAUUUGAUUUGAGGGAAAUUGUUAGUCCCAAUUGAUGCUAGAUAAUGUCACUUUAGGUCAGCUGAAUUUUCUUGGUUUUACUCUUAAGGAGGUGAGACUUAUUUGUUUGCUUGAGGACAAGCAAAAGCUUAAGUUUGGGGGAGUUGAUAACUAGGGAUUCUAAUCUAUUUUACACUACUUUUUACUUGAGUUUUGGAUUAAAAAUGUAUACAAAUAGUCCCAAAGGCUUACAUGUUGUACUUGUUUGCAGGGUUUGGUCAAAAAAGUGACAGGUAGUCAAAAACCAGCUCAAAAACAAGUGAAAUAUGCACAAGUACCAAGAACAAGUCAAAGCACAGCUGCAACAGACCCACCGCGACCGCAAUCCAUUUAGUGCGGACCACGGUGAGGAGAUUCAGAGAGGUGUAGAUUUUGGAAGCUCAAGCACUGCAACCGCAACCCAUUUUGUGCGGAUCGCAGUACCCUCUUCGUGAACACAAUCCAUUUUAUGUGGUCCAUUGAGAGGGGAUUCAGGGAGUUGGUAGUUUGGAUGAUUGAAGUCAGCGUGGUCCAUGAGGCAUUCUAUGAGGACCGCAAUGAAGCUACCGCAGCCGCGGUGCAUUUUAUGCGGCCCGCGGUGGACAGAGUCAGAGAAUGACAAGUCAAGCCAAAAAGCCUCAUUGCGGUCUGCGGUGCAUUUUAUGAGGACCGCAAUACCUCCGUCAGGGGUAUUUUUGUCCAGAAAAUUCGGCCUAGUAUAUAUACUUUCUUUUCACAUUUUUAGGAUAUCUUUUGUAAUAUGUUAGAUCCCAGAGCACGUGAACGACUGUUUUAUUCCAUUUUGAGUUAUUUGUAGCUAGAUUAAUACUGAAUCUUCAAGUUUGUACUCAUAAUUUAUGGGUUAUUCUUCAUCUAAUUCUCUGUCUUCUUCCAUUAUUAUGAGUAGCUAGAACCAUUAGCUAGGGUUGUGGCUCAACCCUAGUAUGGGUAUUUGAUGGGUCUUUUGUUUUAAGGCUUAGAUGUUUAUGGGUAUUUGGUAUUUGGACUGAUUUGUGUUUUUCAUGUUGAAUUAGUGGUUGCAAACACUAAUUUGUGCCUAUUUGACUUGGGUUCUUCUUGAGAAAGAGAGCUUGAGUCUAGUAAAAUCAGUCCAACAAGGAAUUGGGGUGUAAUCAAGAGAUUGAUAGCCCCAAUUAAAGGGUUAAACCUAGAGAUAGUAAUACCCGACUUGAGCCUAUAUUGCUUGCACAAGUUUGACACCCAAUUGGUCUUGAGAAAGUCAAUUAGGGUAAAGUCACUCAAGUUACCGAGAGGUAUAGAGUGAGUAGUUCCGUGCAUUGGCUAUAUCGUAAUCCCCAGCAUAACAACUUUGCAUUAGGCUUUAGAUCCAGUCAAGUAUUCAGCUAGGAGAAAGUCACUUCCCUAGUACCUCGUUAACCAUUUAGUAAACCCAACAAGCAUUCACUCUUAGUUUAAUUUAGCAUCUUAUUAGCAUAAAAUUAGAAGUAACAAACAAACAAUUAUGAUUGAAAGUGUAAUUAAGAGCACUACGCACUACUAGUUUAGAUAGGAAUCCAAUUCCCAAUUCUAGCUCCCUGUGGAUUCGAUCCUUUUCGACCACUCUUGCCACUUUGUAGUGGUGUAGGGUUGGCACCGAUCAGUUGGCUAGCAGAUUACUACAUUUAUAAAUUGAUAAUCGACAAGUCGAACCGUUAAUCGUAAAUAUCCGUCUGGUACGCCCCGAUAAGCACCUCUAUGACAUCGAUAUUUGAUUGUGAAAUAUUUGAGUAAGUACUAAAAAAAGUCCUUCGUAUGCCUUUUCUUCCAAGGUUAAGCUAAACCUGUUGAGAGCAAUCAUCUACAAGCGAACAAGAACUUUAUAGCUGAGUUAUUUGUUUGACCAAAAAAUAUGAACCUUUGGUUAAACCAAUUUAUUAGAUAGAUAAGGGGUUAAUCCUAGUUAAAGAUAAUAACUUCAGAUCUAAAAUCGGCCUACGUGGAUGAUGUAGAAUAGCGUCAGAACAUAUUUAAUGUAACGUGUAUUAAAUGUUCAAGGUCAAUAAUUGGACGAAAAUAACAAGUAUUAAAUAACAAUAAAUGGCACUAAAUGUAAAUAUGGAGAAUGAUUCACCCAAUAUUAAAUGAGAUUGGAUGAUUCUUCUUUCUGACAAUGAUGAAUGACAAAUAACUUAUGAGAAUAUUGGAGACUUUCUCGGAUCUAAUGUGAAAAGUAUAGAAUAAUCAACAAAACAAAUCUCUUUACAAAGGUGGUGUUUGUACUUAUCUAAAGAGUCUGCUCUUCAUGAGAGUUCUUAUCAGAAUCAAUAAUACCUCCCUUUCACCUUAUCUCUCUUUCUAUUUAUAUGGGACAUACUCCCAUCAACCCUAAAAGUACAAGUACAGAGAAUAUUCAAUGGAAUAUUCUCCUAAAGAUCCUAUUAUAAAACUAGCCGUUACUGUUGCUCUCAAUAUUUGACCUCGGCCAUGAUCGACUGUUCGGCGGUGAGUUCCAUUAGGCAUUAAUCGACCUCGGCAGAAUUACUUCUAAUAAUACCCCUUUUUGUCGAAUUCCCUUAGUCAGAUUUGACCCAUACAGUUAGUCCCUUCACUUAUCGAGGUCAUCUCUCGGACAACCUGGAUGACGGACUUCACUAGUCAUAGUUGAGAGCUUUAGGUGGGCAGGUCGAAUAAUAACGCCCAUGGCAAGUUGAUAGCAUGGAGCUUUGUAAGCCAUAACUUACCGUGAUGUUGGUUCAGAAUGACGUCAUGACAUCAUGCGUCAUUAUUACGUAUUUUCCCGAUGCAUUACGUCGUUUCCCGCACCUCUGUCGUUUCAGUAUUAGUGCAACGACGAUUUGUAUUCUCGAUUAAGGUGCCUAUAUUUCUUAUAAAUAGGGAUAGAAAACCCUUUAUUUGGUCCUUUGUGUUUUCAAGCUUUUGAAUAUCCAUAUUUUUCUAUCUUUUUCCCCGGUGUUCUUGUUUUAGUCAUUUCCACCUUUUCAUCCAUGUCUUUCGUGAUUUCAGCAGCUUCUGCUAUUCACAUUUCCUCUGUGUUUGUAAUUUCCUCACAUAUAAACAACCAAAGAUGGUUGAUACAUCAUCUAACCUUGGGGGGGGGGCAUCUGACCCGAUUCCUUGGCAGUAAGCAUUCCCUUCAUGACGACGAGGCUGCCAUUGUUGUAGAGGAUGCUAGCUUCCCUACCGUAGAUGAAAUAAUUCCUCGCAAAGAAAAAGCUAGCUUGGACUUCUCGAAGCGGCCUGAGAAUGAUCUUGAGGCCGUGGAGAUUGAAAUGGACGUGGCUGCCCUUGCUGAAUUUAGGGCCAAGUUCAAGAUUUCGGCUCACAUCGACCUAGUCCCGGCCGGUCGGAAUGUGGUAUAGAUUCACCGCCCUGGAUAUUGCACAUUCUACGCGUAUCUAUUCUAUGUGGGCUAUUCUUUUCCCAUUCCUUUAUUGGAGGAGUAUUUCUGCCACUAUACGGCGUUUGCCCAGCCCAACUUUCCCCUUAAAUCUAUAAACUCAUCUUAUGCUGACAAACUAUGCGGAAUUGGCCGACCACGGAAUCUCUAUUCGCCACCUGAUGCUUCUCUUCACGCCAGUUUCCAUAGGGGGAGGAUGUUACACCUUCGUCACCGUGGAAGUAAAUGUCUCGUAGUGAAGAUGGGCGAUAAAUCCAAUCGUUGAUUCUGGUUGAACUACUUCUACAUCAAGACCAAGGAUGUAGUAACAAAUUCUAAUGGAUUUUCGGAGGCGUGGAAUUAUGUCCGUAAGUACUUCCACUGAGUUUUAAUUCGCUUGUUUCAGCAAUAGCGUAUUCGUUCUAUUUUUUUUCCUUAUUUAGCCGAGGUCGAGCCCCCUCCAUUGGUUGCAGACAUUCAUGACUGGGUUAGCUAGGUCUUGCCUCAUACGGAGGGGAUCCAUGAAUGGCCGGCCUUUCACAAGAAGUUUAGGCCCAAGCCCCCGACGACUAGUGAGUUUUUAGUUUUUAUCGUAUCGUGGAGAGUUGACCUAACCUUUUUAUCGUAUCGUGGUGAGUUUUUAAUGUGACAUGUGUCUUUUGGCCAUUUGGGCGGUACAAUUUAAAUUGAGCAGAGUAGAUGACUCUUGAGAGAAUUCUAAUGGAUUCAAAAAUGUAUAUGUAGCAAUUGAAAAUUGUUUGAAUUUGUAUGCCGCUAUAAUCAAUUAUUUACAUUGAGAUGGUAUCGAAACUUGCGGUACUUCUAUAUGACUACAAAUUCUAUAUUCCAGUACAAGGGAGGUAAAAAAAUGAUUUUAAAUUCACAUAAGGUACUAUCAGGAUGGGAGUUUCGGUUAUGGUACUUACGGGGAUACGUAAGAAGAAUACAAUAGCUUAUGGACUUAUGGCUGUGUGGUUUUAUGCUGGGAUAUCUGGUAGUGAGCUUUCGAUAACAUUACUGGUGUAUGUCAAGGAAGAGUGUCAACCUGAGGGUAAUUCGGAGAGAAAAAAAAAGGUGAUAUAGCUUGGUAGUAAGCAAGAUCCAAAAGAUAAUGGAUAUGAUCAGUUCUUGGUUUACUUAUUAUGUGAUGAUUCUCUACAGAGGUUUUGGUGGAAACAUUCAUGGGUUUGGCAACCUACGUGUCUUGGUCGAGUUAGAGGAAUCCAUAUUUAAUAUUUUGAUUAUGUGCAGAUAAAUUUUAAGGUGUCCUUAAUGGUUUCUACCAUGGUUUGAGCCGGGCAUUUUCUACCGGUGUGAGGAACAUGUUGUGUAUUAUGACUUGCCCUGGGUGGGAGCCAUUGGACGGUUUCUAACUAACCGGUAGGUAAUUUGCUGGUAACUCAAAAUUGAUAAUGAGAUUCCUGUGCUUGUCACAUGAUGGCGUAAUAGACAUGGUGUGUUGUGCGGGAUUAAGAGUUUCAUGUACAGGGUGGAAGUUCAUUCUUGAAUGGACUAUCACAAAUUUUGGACAUCAUGGCCCAUUUCAGAUAUUUAGAUGAAUGUUAUUAACUGCCCAGUAAUUCCUGAGAAUGAUGUGCAUCUCAGAAGGUUUAUUGUGUUUUUACUUAUGGAUGCUCAUUGGUAUUGCGGUACUCACCUGAUUGAUAGACUGUUGAUAUUCGAAUUAUUAUUAUGUGGUACAGAAAAAUUAUGAAAGUAUUCCUAGUGGGAUGAUCGUGCAUGAGGAAUGUUUUAGUCAUUCGAGUGCUGGAGUUGUGAUCAGUUACGGUGAUUUAUGUGAUCUAUGAAUUUGGAGACUGGGAGUUCCCAGAAGUAUAAUAUUUCGGGAUUCGUGGCAUGUUUGAUGUGAGCAUUUUAUUUGAACUCAGUGGAGGCACAAGUUUCUCUAAUUGAAUGUGAUAACUAUGUGUUGUGAGUGUGUAUAUAUGUGAGGUUUGAACACAUGUGUGAGCACUUGAGAAAUUAUUUGUGCUCGGGAAAUGCCUAGGUUAUGAUAAGUCUGGAACCGACAGUUGAGCUUUAUGCUAUGAUGUUUUUCAAAUAUGUAACAAUGUGUGAGCUAUUUGAGCUAUGAUUAAGGCUACAUAGGAGUUAAAAUCCUCGAAUGAACUUGAUAAACGUCUCAGCGAUGAAAGAUUUUUUUAUUUGAGCUACAAUAACAUGCCUACACUUUGGCAUGUCAAUUAUGCCAGUCCAGGAAUGUGAGAAUCUUAUCUUACUCAGCAUAAAAAUAUAUACCUGUUUGAAUGCUCCCAUAUAAAUAUUUGAACUGGAGGUCUGAGACUAUACCGGGCAGAUUAUAUUAUUGGCACGUGAGUUGUCCGUGCAUAUUUUAUUGUUUGCACGUGAGUUGUCCGUGCAUAUAUAUGUAUUGAUGUGAUUGGCACGUGAGUUGUCCGUGCGGGUGCUAUUGUUAGCACGUGAGUUAUGUGGAAAUUGCGAUUCUUCGAUCAAUUAUAUGAUUAAUGAUUUUCUUCCUAUUUAUGCUAUGAUAUUUCCAGAUCAGGGAAAUUUGAGAAACUUGGACGCAUGCACAUAUAGAUGGCCUACUCACAGAAUUUGAUGAGUUGGAUUUAAAUAAUGUUCUAUGCCGAAAAGGCAGGAUUACAUCGGAAUAGCUGGAAUAGUUGUGUUUGGUAAUAUAAGGUCAUUAGACCUAGAAUGAGUACUAUGGAAUGUGAUUACGGUAGAUUUGGGAGAAUAAUAUCGGGAGUGUACGAAGAUUUUGGAACGAGACUUUAUGGAAAUAGAGUUUCAUACUAGUACUUUAUUGGUUUUGAGCAGUUACUGUGAUCGGAAAUGGUUUUGUGAGUAUGCGAGUUGCGUAGUAUAUUGUGUAAUUAUAUAUGGGGUCAUGGUUAAAGCUUAAUACAACUUGCUCUAAUUCAUACAGUGUGUUGACGUGAAAUUCGGGUCUUGAAAGGGAAUUUUUGGAUGUUGGAAGUUUGAUUCCAAGGUUUAUGGGCUAAGUCUAAAUUAGUAAUUUCUAGUAUGUGGUGUCAUCAGGCCUAUAUGGUAUAGGAUGACGUGGGAUUACCCUCGGUUAUGCAUGUGUGAUAGGUGAAUUAGUGAUUUGAAGGUUCAAACAUAUGAAAGAAGUAGCAUUACCCCGUGAUCAAAUAUAUGGGAUAUGAAAUUUUAUCAUCAUUUUUGUACCAGAACAUCUUAAAGUAAGUGUUGGAGGUCGACAAAGGUUUAGUUCAGAUGUUUGACGUAGAGAUUUAGAGUUGAAGAAAGUGAAUGGGUUAUUCUCAAUAUUUUCUCCAUGAGGACGUUAUGUGAAUUUCUAAUACGGGUAAAGUAUGUGUAGUUACAUCGGGCCUUAUGAAAUCCCGAAGGGAAUGUGCCAAAUUAUGAGUAUGAUGUCUCCCUAUUAUUUUUCUCCAUGUAUUUUGUGUUUUCAUGUAUCUGUGUCUAAGAAGGUAGUUGAAAAUCCUUGUGUAUCAUUCCGUUGGGAAACUACUAAAGGUAAAGUUAAUGGGUAAUUGGCUUAUGAGGGGAAUCUAUUUGUCAUACUAGUUAGAUAAGUCUGGGAGUUGAGAUCGCUUCUGUAAGUGUAUUAUGACGAAAUCUAUGAGUCGAGGAGCCCACCUCGAAGGUCGAAAACAUUAAGGAAAGAAAAUGUUCUUACUUGGUUGAAUAGACCAAUAAUGGUGGAUCGAAAGGUAUUUUCCAUGUGUUACGAUUCAAAUAGGUGCAACUCAUGUCCAUGUAUCAAUUUUGAUAAUAUAAUGCAUGUAAUAUUGAGAUUAAUGUUGUUGAUAUUCAUUGUGAUUCAUUGUCGAGUUGUGUAUGUGUUGUUAGGAUGGUUUUGGUGAUUCUCUGACAGGUGGAUAGGCCCAAUUACAAAGGAGACUUUGCCAAAACUUUUGGAAAAUUUGGGAGCUAGAGGUGUACUAAAAAAAGGGGGGUUAAAGUAUGUUAUGUGUUUGGGAGAGGACUCUACUACUCAUUCGAGGACGAAUGAUCCUAAGUGGCGGAGAAUGUAACACCCCGGAAAAUUUUUGAAGUACUUAAGCGCUAUUAAGAAAGUUGACGUGCGCUAAUUAUAUUAUUAUGUCUACGAACGAGGACUAUUAAUAUGAUGGAUAUCAAUUGGAUAUGAUAAUAAGUGUACGAGGAAUAUUACAAGUGAUUUGGGGUCUAAGGAGAGGCGUAAGUCCAAGCCAAGUUGAAAAUUUCCAUUAUAGACGAAAGUUUCGAAUGAGCACGCACAAGACCAAACUUUGGACAAGAAUAUAUGAAUAAAUAUAAGGAGUUAUAUGAUGAAAAACCUAUCAAAUGAAAGAUUUUCGAAUCUAUUUUCUAACGCUUCAAAUCGUUCGUCAUUUGGACACUCCUACAAGAAGUUAUGACCAAAUUACCAAAGGCUGCCAGAAACUGUACUAUCGCGCCGCGCUUGUAGCAAAUUCCAGAAUGAUCCGAAAUUUCAUUUCCAUGCACAUUUUGCAAAGCCGCCCCGUGCCCCGUGGCGUCCCACGCGCCGCGGAUGUACAAAAAUGGGUUUUUAAGACCCGAACUCUAUUUCAUUUAACUCGUUUGGGUUUUUUUUUUGGGAUAUUCUGGUACUUUUAGAGAGAGGGAAGAGAAAUUCUAGAGAGAGGACGAAGCUCAAGUGCUUUGUUCAUCAAAACUCUUGUCCAAUCCUUGAAAACCAACAAGAAAUUCCUCAAGUUCUUCAUCAAAGAGGUAAGGUUUUAUACCCUAGUCUUCAAUUUCGUUUUUUGGUGAUUGUUGAGUAAGAAUUCAUGUGAAAACUAGAGAUAAGUCACUUGUGGUCAUUGUUAGCCAAUAAUAUGGGAUUAUCAUCGAAUAUCCUGACUAGAUUACUUGUUUUUGGGGUGAAAUUCGAAUGAUUGGGCCUAGGGAUUUGAAAUUUUGAUUUGAGGAUUUAGGUCGAAUUGAUGUCGGAAUUUGGUGAAAUUUGUAUGGUUGGACUCGAGGUUAGAUGGGUGUUCAUAUUUUGUAACUUUUGUCGAGUUCCGAGGCAUUGGCCCCGCUGAUAAUUUUUGGGUGUAAUUUCGGAUUUUGUUGGAAAGAUGUAGAAUUUUAUAUGGAAUUAAUUAAUAUAAUUGUAUUGACUGAAUCAAAUUAUUAUGGAUAGAUUUGAGACGUUUGGAAACCAAUUUGAGGGGCAAAGGCGUCGCGAGCUAGAGAUUUCGUCGGUUCGAGGUAAGUAAUAAUUGUAAAUACUGUCCUGAGAGUUUGAAACCCCGGAUUAUACGUUGUUGUGUUACUUUGAGGUGACUUGCACGCUGGAUGACGAGCGUGGGGUAGAGCACCGCUGGGGAUUGUGACCUAGUCCAUCCCGAACGAAUAUUUUAAUGCGUAUUUGAUAGUUAAUUGUUUGACAUUAUUAUAUUUUUGGGUUGUAUGCCAUGUUUGGGGCCUUGUGCCGACUUGUUGAGACCUUUAGGGGCAUAUUUACUAUCUUUCCUCACUCUAUUUGUUUGAAAGCAUAUUCUCAGUCAUGUUUUACCUGUUUACUGCUCAAAUCUGGCCUUAUCACUAUAUUCUUAAAAUGUGGAAAUUGUUUUGGGCUGAGUUCCUUGGUUUACUGAGAUAGACCGAGGGUCUGAUUGUGAGAUUGAUGAUUGAUAUAGACUGAGAGUCUGAUGGUGAGGUUAUUGACUGAGAGAGGCCGAGGGCCUAGUUGUGAGGAUUAUAUAUCUAUAGAUCGGGAUGCACGCCGCAGCAAUGUAUAUAUAUAUGUAUAUGGAUCGGGCUGCAUGUCGCAGCGAUACUUAUAUGGAUCAGGCUGCGCGUCGUAGCAAUAUAGCGUUUGGGCUCUAGGAGCCCCUUCGGAGUCUGCACACCCCCAGUGAGCGCAGUCGACUAUUUAUAUGGAUCGGGUUGUGCGCCACAGCGAUGCAUGGAUCGGGCUGCACGCCGCAGCGGUUACUUUGAUUUCAGUUAUUGUGAGAUAUAUAUGGAUCGGGAUGCACGCCGCAACGGUUAUUAUAUGGUACCUAUUGAGCGUGAGUACUGAAUGCGAGUAUUGAUUGAUAAGAGUUGAGUCACGAGGGGUGAUAGAUAUAUAUAUACAUGCAUAUGAGUUAUGCUUUGCCUGAGAGGCAUGUUUAUGAACUUAUUGAUUUCACUCCUCUUUAAAGUGAGUUUCUAUCGAAUAUGUAUUUAGUGACUAUUUUCACUCAUUUUUAUAUUGAGCCUUUGUCGAAAUGUUGAACAAAUGUUUUAAAACAACUUUUAUUUAAACUGGGGCUUGUGAGACAUUCAAAAUUUUAUCAUUGAUUUGGAAUUGGUUAUUUCCACUGAAAAUUUCAAGUUAUGAGGUGUUUAUGAUUGCAAUGUUGCCGGAGGGGCCGAUUAUAGUUUUCAUAUUUUUAUUACAAAUGAUAUUGAACCCCUACUGAAAUUGCUGGGAGGUAUUUUAAAUCAUUUGUACGAAAAAGCUGAAUUUAAAAUGAGACGAUUGACUCGUAUUAUGAUUUGAAAACCUGUUGUGCUUAUUGAGCCUAAUGUAAAAAGGUGUAUUUAUUGUUUCCUACUGCUUAGUCUUUAUUUACUCUUAUUACUUACUGGGUUGGAGUACUCACAUUACUCCCUACACCUCGUGUGCAGAUUCAGGGAUUUCGGAACCCGGUAGCGGGUGUUGAUUGCUCAGAGGCAGAGUUAUCAAAGUUUAGUGAGGUGGCUGCAUGGCGUUUGCAGCACUGCUUUCUUCCUCUCAUUUUUAUUAUUGUAUUUAGUACACUUUUGACUAGUUUUGUUGUAUUCAGACCUUGGUAGAUUCCCAUGACUACUGAUACCCCGAUGUUGGGCUUGUAUGUUAUUUCCGCACUAUUCAUUCAGACUCAUGUUAUGAGAUAUUGUUUUAUUAAAGGCUUACAAAUAACUCUUAAUGAUUAAAGGGUUAAUAUGGGUGUUGUAUCGGCUGGCCUUGUCUUCACGAGAGGCUCCAUCACGACCGGGCCAAUUGGGGUCAUGACAGUCUCUUUUCUGGGGGAACUGCAUUUCAUGCGUGCAGGUUCAGACAGACAAACGGGUAGACCUCCUCAGUAGGUGUGGCCCGAGUUUAGCCUGAUCGGUAAGCUCCACGUCCUUCAGAGUUACCGGGUCUAGAGUAUUUUGUACAUCUUAUGUAUAUAUGUAUAUAUGUUAUAGGUAGGUCGGGGCCCUGUUUCGAUCACAGUACAUUCAUCAGUAGAGGUUGUAGAUAUAUCAUGUCAGUUAGUGCAAUAUGGUGGGCUUGUAGGCCUUAUAUGUAUAUUUUAUUGGUUUGUCAGCUGUAGUAGUUAUGACGACCUUAUCAGCCUAGCUUUAUAUUGAUGUUUAGUCAAUAUUAGUUUCUGUUCAAUUUUAUAUUUUGCUUCGCAAUUAGUCUUGCAAUGUGGCCCCAUGGCCAAAGUAUGACAUUAGAUGUUCAGAGUCCCUUAGUCGCAAGUUGGUGCACAAGGUUAGGUGAGGCACCAGGUGUCGGUCUCACCCCUCAGGUUCAGGGCAUGACAAUCUUCGAGGCUAGUCGACAUUCCCUCCAUAUCUACUCGUGAGAGAGAUUAAGGGGCCGUUGAGGGAGACUAUGAGGCAGGAUCCAAUCUAGAUCCUAACAAGGUUCGGAUGCUGAGCGAGGGGUUCACUCGCGUCGAGGUUAGGUUGGACGUAUCCUCGAGGACCAUAGUGGUUCCUAUGGAUCAGGACUUAAUGGUAAAUAUGGAAGAUGUAGUCCCCUCCUUAGGUCCCCUUUGCUCCGAUGGGAAGGACCCUUGGGACGUUGUACGCCACCGCCCUAUCGUCGGUCAUAGCUGGUCUCGCCCUCAGGGUAUGUUUUCCGACCUUUCUGAGUCCUAUACCUUGUAUUUUACUCUAAUUUUAACUGAUUUUUUUUUCCUUUUUCCUCUCUCCCUUUCAGACCAUUAUUCUGGAGAUUGAGAGUUCUCGCCGAGAGGAGAGGUGCAGGACUAUUUUCAAUAAGAUGAAGAGGAAGUACCACAAAUACCAUGCCAAGUAUUGUGAGAUCCAUAUGCAGUUCAGCGAGGACGACAACUUCCAGGCCAUCAGGUACGGGCUUAGGCAGAAAGACGAUGAGCUGGUGAGAGUCAUCAGCAAAUAUAGCGUCCUUGAAGGAGCGUUGAAAGACAAAGAAGAGGAUCUUGAAGCGACCAAGGGGGUUGAGGCCCAAUAUGCAGACCUUUAGGUCCAGGUGGUGUCUCUGCAGGCCGAACUUGAGCAAAGUUUGGUUAGGGCUGAUGCCUUGAGCGAUGAGAUCGCCGAGAAGGCGACAUAUUUGGAGAAGGCUGAGUUGUCUCAUUUGGCGGCCUCGAUAAAAGUGGAAGCUUUGGAGGAUGCAAUUCGUGUUCUUUGAUCCCAGCGGGCAAACAAUUUGGAGACGACUAAGUUCAGGGAGGCUCAGCUUGACGAGCGGAUACAGGAGCUUGAAAAAUGGGUUUAUAACCUUGAAGGUCAAGUUGCCAUUCUCGAAGAUGAGAAGUCCCAGCCAUUGGCUCACUCAUCCUCCUCUCAUGCUUCUGCCUUUCCUGAUGUCCCACGGGAUUUAUAUGAGAAGUGGAUAUAUGCCCCCAACUGGACAUACUCAGAGAUUUGAUGAUGGCGGGGAGAGUCCCUGAGGCUAAGUUUGAGGAUGCUUGUGCUAAGGCUCGUGCAGUUCGGAUCGCUUGUGGCUAUGACCCUGUUACACCGGGGACCGGCGAAGGCGAGAAGGAUUUGGAUGGGAUUGAGAAGGAUGCUUGGUACGAAGAUGAAUAUCCUCAUGGGGAUGAUGCAGAUGGUGCUGCUGGGUCGGGUGGCGAGUAGUUUUUUCCUUUGGUUUGUAAUUUCUUUUUUCCAUAUUUUGUGGGCGUCCGUUUAGCCUUUGUAAAGGAUAUUUUUUGAAGUGGAAAUACUAUUUUUUCUUGUUCGUCUCUAAAUCUUCUUUGUUUGGUCGUGUGCUUCUAUCGUUUGGUCACCUUAAUCAUAAUAAUUUUGGUUUUGGCCAUGCUCGAGGCUGGUAAGUGUUAAUCCAAAAAAGGUUAAACAUAAGUUAAUUCGGGCGAGGUUGAAUGUCACUUCAGUUAAUCCGAACAAGGCCGAAUGUCACUUUAAUUAAUUCGAACGAGGUCGAAUGUGAUUUUAUUCGAACGAGGUCAAUUGUUCAGCUAAUUCGAANNNNNNNNNNNNNNNNNNNNNNNNNNNNNNNNNNNNNNNNNNNNNNNNNNNNNNNNNNNNNNNNNNNNNNNNNNNNNNNNNNNNNNNNNNNNNNNNNNNNNNNNNNNNNNNNNNNNNNNNNNNNNNNNNNNNNNNNNNNNNNNNNNNNNNNNNNNNNNNNNNNNNNNNNNNNNNNNNNNNNNNNNNNNNNNNNNNNNNNNNNNNNNNNNNNNNNNNNNNNNNNNNNNNNNNNNNNNNNNNNNNNNNNNNNNNNNNNNNNNNNNNNNNNNNNNNNNNNNNNNNNNNNNNNNNNNNNNNNNNNNNNNNNNNNNNNNNNNNNNNNNNNNNNNNNNNNNNNNNNNNNNNNNNNNNNNNNNNNNNNNNNNNNNNNNNNNNNNNNNNNNNNNNNNNNNNNNNNNNNNNNNNNNNNNNNNNNNNNNNNNNNNNNNNNNNNNNNNNNNNNNNNNNNNNNNNNNNNNNNNNNNNNNNNNNNNNNNNNNNNNNNNNNNNNNNNNNNNNNNNNNNNNNNNNNNNNNNNNNNNNNNNNNNNNNNNNNNNNNNNNNNNNNNNNNNNNNNNNNNNNNNNNNNNNNNNNNNNNNNNNNNNNNNNNNNNNNNNNNNNNNNNNNNNNNNNNNNNNNNNNNNNNNNNNNNNNNNNNNNNNNNNNNNNNNNNNNNNNNNNNNNNNNNNNNNNNNNNNNNNNNNNNNNNUCAUUGGUCGACCUGGAGAAGUAUUUGAGAGGUUGGGCAAUGAACUAAUCGACUCGCGUCCUUGUCUAUUCGUACUUUAUCCUGAAAUGUUCUCCUUGUCGCCUCAUUAAAAACUUCCUGAGAAAGACCCAAUUGGGACAAAACUCAGGUAAGGGAAAAAGAGUACGGCUUGGAGAACAUUUUUCCUUAGAAGUUAAAGUACUUGAGGUGGGAGAUGUUCCAGUUGUUUGGUAGUAGUUUUCCUUCCAUCGUUUCUAGUUGAAAUGACCCUUUGUUUGCUACUGCCGUGAUUUUGUAUGGGCCAUCCCAAUUCGUUCCCAGUUUGCUCUCCUGCAGGUCUUUGCUUGCCUGUGCUUUGGCUUUGAGUACGUAGUCCCUGACUUUGAGUGAUCUGACCUUGGAUUUUUUGUUGUAGUAGCACUCUGCCUGUUAUUUUCGGGCGAUCAUCCUUAUAUAUGCCAUAUCUCUCUGUUCUUCUGCUUCGUCGAGGUCCUGCCUUCUACUUUCGUCGUUCCUCGACCCGCUCUCAUGGGAGUAUCGCAGACUUGGUUCUCUGACCUCGACUGGUAUUACUGCAUCAGUCCCAUAGACUAAUAAGUAGGGUGUCUCUCCUAUACUCGUUUUUGGCAUUGUGUGGUAUGCCCAUAAUACUUCUGGCAAUAGUUCCGGCCAUAGUCCCUUGGCAUUCUCGAGCUUUUUCUUUAUGAUGUUCAGUAUUAAUUUAUUGGAGGACUCCGCUUGCAUAUUUCCUGUGGGAUGGUAUGGGGUGGAGAGUAUUCUUUUGAUAUGCCACUUCUCGAAGAACUCGGCGAUCUUUUUCCCAGUGCAUUAGGGUCCGUUGUCACAACUAAUCUCUUUGGGGAGGCCGAAAUGGCACAGAAUAUUUUUCCAUAUGAAGGUGAUCAUUUCUUGUUCCCGAAUCUGGGUGAAUGCUCCUGCUUCUACCCACUUAGAAAAAUAGUCAGUUAAAACUAAAAGAAAUUGUACGUUACCUCGCCCCGUAGGGAGGGGUCCGACGAUGUCCAUCCCUCACUUGAUGAAAGGCCAAGCUGAGGUGACCGAGUGGAGAUGCUCGCCAGCUUGGUGUAUCAUAGGGGCAUACUUUUGGCAUUGCUCGCAUUUUCUCACGAAGUCAGCGACCUCUUUUUUCACGGUGGGCCAGUAGUAGCCUGCUCGUAUGAGACAUCUGACUAGAGCCCGUUUGCCGGAAUGGGCUCCGCGGUGGACUUCGUGGAUUUCUUCUAGAAUGCGCCGUGUUUGAUUUAGGCCUAAGCAUUUUUCUAGGGGCCCGCCGUAUGUCCUUUUGUACAGGUUGUUGUCUAUGACGUUGUACCUAGACACUUGCAUUCGAAGCUUCUUGGCAUCUUUUUUAUCAUUUGGGAGCACGCCAUCCUGCAAGUAUGUAAUAAUACGGUUGCGUCAGUCCCAAGUUAGCUUUAUAGUCCUUACCUCGAUUUGAUCGAUCGAUGAGUACAGGAGGGUGACCAUGUUUCCUUCUCCAGUUAUGUUAUUAGUGGCCGCAACUAGUUUUGCGAGGCCGUCUGCUUUGAUAUUUUGCGCUCGAGAGAUCUGGUUGAGCUGGCAGUCGUCGAAUUCGGGCAGCAGCUUGCAGAUCUUGGCCUGAUACUUUUGUAACCUUUGCUCUUUGAUCUGGAAAGUCCCUGUAACUUGGUUGACGACGAGUUGAGAGUCGCAACGUAGGACGAAUCGCCUCGCCUCGUUGUUGAGUGCCAGUCUUAUCCCUACAAUAACAACCUCAUACUCGGCCUCAUUUUUAGUCAUGUUCGGGCAUCUUAUGGAUUGUCGAAUUACUUCUCCUAUCGGGACCUCGAGUACGAGUCCCAGUUUGGACCCUGAUGAAUUAGAGGCGCUAUCGGUGUACAAAAUCCAUAGAUCCUAUAUUUGAGGAGAGGUGUUAGAGGCUUCUCUUUCAACUUCAGGCAUUAUUUUUGCACUGAAGUCAGCAACGAAGUCGGCAAGUACUUGCAACUUUAUCGUCGUUCGCGGUUGAUAUAUGAUAUCAUGUUCGCUUAAUUCUAUGGCCUAUUUGGCCAAUCUGCUCGAUAGCUCGAGCUUAUGCAAAAUACUUCUCAAGGGAAAAGUCGUGACUACCGAGAUGGGGUGGCACUAGAAGUAGAGUCUAAGCUUUCGUGAAGCUACGACCAAGGCCAGGGCUAGUUUUUCGAGGUGAGAGUACCUCGUCUCGGCGUCGACUAAGGUUUUUCUAAUGUAAUAUAUGAGAUAUUGAGUACCUUUAUUUUCUCAGACCAUGACUGCACUCACCGCCACUUUGGAUAAGACAAGGUAGACGAGGAGGCGUUCUCCGGGCUCCACCUUGGAAAGCAGUGGCGGUGAUGAUAGGUAAGCCUUUAACUCCUUCAGGGCGUCGGCACUCUCGGAGGUCUAUUGGAGGCCGUUGUUUUUCUUGAGUACGCCAAAGAACUUGUGGCAUCUGCCAGAUGAUCGAGAGAUGAAUCUCGACAAGGUGGCUAUACUGCUGGUCAGUCUCUGAACCUAUUUUUUGUUGGUUAAGUUCUCCGGUAUCCCCUCUAUAGAUUUGAUUUGGUUGGGGUUGACCUCGAUCCCUUGUUGUGACACCAGGAAACCCAGGAAUUUCCUUGAUGUCAUGCCGAAUGUGCAUUUUUCAGGAUAUUUCAUUCUGUAUCGCCUAAGUAUAUUGAAGGCUUCUUUUAGGUGAUUAAUGUGAUCCUCUUUCCUUUUGGAUUUGACCAACAUAUCGUCUAUGUAGACCUCCAUGAUUUGUUUUGUGUUGAUCUUUGAAGAUUUUCAUCACCAACCUUUGAUACAUCGCUCCGACAUUUUUCAGUCCGAAAGGCAUCACCCUGUAGCAAUACGUUCCUUGGUAGGUGAUGAAUGUGGUCUUCUCCUGGUCUUCCUCCUCCAUAAGGAUCUGGUUAUAGCCCUAGUAUGCGUCUAAGAAGCUUAACAGGUUAUGCACGACUAUUGCAUCAAUAAGCUGAUCGAUAUGGGGUAGCGGGAAUGAGUCAUUUGGGCAUGCUUUUUUCAAAUCUGUGAAGUCUAUGCACAUCCGCCAUUUUCCGUUCUUCUUUUUCACCAUGACCACGUUGGCGAUCCAUUGUAGAUAUUUUGAUUCUCUGAUGGAGCCAUUUUCUAGCAGUUUUUCAACCUCUUCGCGGAUUGCAUAGUUUAUUGCAGAAUUGAACUUCCGCCUAACUUGCCUUACCGGGAGUAAAAUGGAUCGACUUUCAACUUGUGUGUCACUAUCUCCUAUGGGAUACCUGGCAUGUCUGCGUGGGAGAAGGCGAACAAAUCUGCGUUAUUAGUUAAGAAAUGAUGGAAUUUACCUGGUUCCUAAAGCUUGUGGCCGAUGUAGGCUUUCUUGCUAUGGUCGUUUUCAUCAAGUUGGAUGGGGUCGAGGUCUUCUACAGUUGAUCCCGUGGCUUCUAUGAUUUCAGGGUCUUUGUUGACGUGGUUUCUUUCAUCACUGCUCGAUCUCGACCUUGUUAAUUGCUAUGCCUCUUUGGCUUUGCCCUUCAUUUUUUGGGUGUAUGUACAAUCCUGGGCAAUGCGAUAGCAUUCUCGGAAAGUGCGUUGUUCUCCUUGGAUGCUGUAUACUUCCCAUGGGGUGGGAAAUUUGAUAACUUGGUACAAACUGGAGGGGAUGGCCUUCAUGGCUUGUCCAAGGACGACCUAUUAUGGCAUCGAAAGUCGUGUCCUAAUCCAUGAUGUGGAAUGUGGUCUCUAGAGUGAUGCCGCCAGCCAGGAUGGGGAGUGUGAUUUCUCUGGACGUUCGUUCAACUACAUUGUUAAAACCGGUUAGUGUGAUGCAGUGUGGUACUAUUCUAUGCUCGAGUUUCAUCUGUUCAAGUACUCGAGGAUGGAUAAUGCACAUGCCGCUCCCAUCGUCCACCAUAAUACGUCCCACAUCUAUAUCUAAUAUGUGUAAAGUGAUAACAACAACAUCAUAGUGAGGAAAAAAACCAAAUAGUGGGUAUCUGACUUAUCGAAGAUGAUACUUUAUUCAAGUUCAUCGUACCGUUAAUGAGUGAUCGACCGUUUGAGUUUGUGGGUGGUAGUGAAUUUUACGAUGUUGAUCGAUGCGUCAUCACCCCCUCUGAUGAUCAUUUGAAUGGUUCAAGUUGGAGAAGGCAGUUUUGGUGGGCCCUAGUGUUGUUCACUCUCUCGAGCGAAGUUGGCCCUUCCUCGGUCGCUCAACAUCUCUUUCAAGUUCCCUUGGUGAAGCAUGUUCACGACCUCUUGUCUUAGAGCAAUGCAGUCCUCGGUUUUAUGACCUCGUUCCUGGUGGAAUUCAUAGAGGGCAUUUGACUUCCUGGUUCGGGUCAGACCUCAUCUUCUGCGGCCACUUCACUUUUGGGCCGAGCUUCUCCAAUGCAUAGACUAUUUCUGAGCGUGAAACACAAAAAUUGUGAGCAGAUAAUAAGGGAGGUAUACCUCGCUCACUUCGGUGAGUCCCUAUUAUUGGCCUAGAUGAGCCUUCAUCGUGGUGGAUAGGCGGCAUGAUGGUGCCUCUGACAUAUAGUUGAAGUCUUUCUCGGUUGGGCCGUAGGCCUGCUUGAUCCCUUCUAUUGUCAUUUAUCCGGUCUUUUUUGGACUCGGCUUGUACUGAGGUUAACCGUAGGGUUGUUCCAUUUAGGUCCUCCUCGUCAGCUCGGACCUCAGUGCAAUAGGCAUUGUGUAUUUCAUCCCAAGUGGUCGGGGGAUACUUCAUGAGCCGACUCAGCAACUUUCUGGUCGUCCUUGAACUGCUUUUGUUCAACCCAUUCUGGAAAGCUUCCACAACCGUUCCUUCCGAUACACUCGGUAAGGUCAUCUUUACAUGGUUAAAUCGAGCGAGGAAGUCCUUAGUCCUUCUCCGGGUGAUUGUUUGAUGGCAAAUAUAUCAUUCACUCUUGCCUCUGCCUUCUUAGCUUCGGCAUGGGCGUUAGGAACUUGUCGACCAUCUCUUCGAAUGUUUUAAUGGAGCGCGCAGGCAGCUGCGAAUACCAAGUUAAUACGCCCUCGGUGAGGGUUUCGCCAAACUUUUUUAAUAAGAUGGAGGAUACUUGCUCUUUGGCGAGGUUGUUGCCUUUUACUGCGGUGACAUAGUGAGUCACAUGAUCCUCAGGGUCUGUUGUGCCAUCGUAUAUUUUCAGGUACGACGACAUUUUGAAGGUUUUAGGUAUGACAUGUGAUGCGGCGUCAUCACUAUACGACUGCUCAACAAACAGACCGGCGUCACUUUUUGGUAAGAGUUUUGGGGCGCCCGGUAUUUUGCCUGCCCUUUCUUGAUGCUCUUUCAUUUGGUCUCGGAGCAUUUUAUUUUUGUUUUCCACCUCUUCCAUCUUCCUUAAAACGACUGUGAGGGUUUAGUCACCUGCAUUAUUAACAUUAUGGAUGAUACCUGCUGGGGGGAAGGGCCGUGCAGCUCGACUGCUAUUGGUGCAACGCAAGUUCUUGUGCUCUCUCUGAUCGCCUUUUGGGUGGGUUUGUCGAAGAUGCUGGUCAACGUGUUUGUCAGCCAAGCUUCGAGUAGCUUCUUUACCGCCGGUGGUGCCUCUUCCGUUGUGGACAUGGAAUCUCCUUUACCGUGGGACGUUGUGAUACUGCCAUGAGGAAGGGGUGAUCCACAUCGCCUGGGAGAGGCAUUUGGUGUUAUAUCCUCACCCUCUGUUUCAGAGAAAUCGUUGAUGGUGUUUAAGAGGUUGGUGAUGAGAUCGUCUACCACCUUCAUCCUUUCUUAUCCGUUACUUGUCAUCUUAGAUCUGUGUGCACAAAAAGGUAUAGGAUUUUGUAUUUUUUUUGUGGUUAUAGAUCUAGAAGAAACUAAAAUUUUACUUAGGAAAUUCCCACAGACGGCACCGCAUUGUUUGAUUAAAAAAAAUACGAAUCUUUGGUUAAACCAAUUAAUUAGAUAGAUAAAGGGUUAUCCUAGUUAAAGAUAAUAACUUUAGAUCUAAAAUCGGCCUACGUGGAUGAUGUAGAAUAGUGUCGGAAUAGAUUUAAUGUAACAUGUAUUAAAUGUUCAGGGUCAAUAAUGGGAUAAGAAUAACAAGCAUUAAAUAACAAUAAAUGACACUAAAUGUAAAUAAAAGAAUGAUUCACCCAAUAUUAAAUGAGGUGGAUGAUUAUUCUUUCUGACAAUGAUGAAUGACAAAUAACUUAUGACAAUAUUGGAGACUUUCUCGAAUCUGAUGUGAAAAGUGUAGAAUAAUCAACCAAACGAAUCUCUUUAGAAAUGUGGUGCUUAUCCAGAGAGUCGGCUCUUCAUGAAAGUUCUUAUUAGAAUCAAUAAUACCUUCCUUUUACCUUAUCUCUUUCUAUUUAUAUGAGACAUACCCCCAUCAACCCUAAAAGUACAAGUACAAAGAAAUUCAAUGGAAUAUUCUCCUAAAGACCCUAUUAUAAAACUAGCCGUUACUGUUGCUCUCAGCAUUUGACCUCGGCCAUAAUCGACUGCUUGACGAUGAGUUCCAUUAGUCAUUAAUCGAUCUCGGCCGAAUUAAUUCUAAUAAUACCUCUUCGUGCCAAAUUCCCUUAGUCAGAUUUUGAUUAUCCUGAUGGAGAACCUUACUAGAUGGAUUAAAAGGGUCCCAAUUAAUGUUAUUCAACAAAUAUAGUUACUAUUAUAAAGUGAGGAUGCAUAUAUCGGACAGUAUAAAAGCUUUCACAAAUUUAAAUUGAGUUUACAUUAUUUAGAACUAACUUUGCAAUAGAAGAUUACGUUAUCUUAAAUCCCGUACCCAUUCGACCAACAAUAUCACAAUAACAUGAGACGCCAAAAAUGAUCAAAACGCAGGGGCUAACUCUGCAUCUAUAUGGUUACAUUCUCCAAGUGGAACAAAACGCCACUAAUUUACAAAAACAUAACAAUAGAAAUCAUUGAGAAACAAAGUUGUUGGCUGUUCCCCUCAGUUGGAUGAUUUGGAGAUGAGAAAUUUGAGACUCUGUUGGUGACUUUGGUCCCAAAAGUUUAAUGCUGUGUCCAUACAAUGAUGCUUCUUCUUUCGUAGUAUUCAACAAUGACCUUAACUAUAUAUAUUGAUAAUAUAAAUUUUCUACAUUAUCUGCUCGCUUGAAAUGUAAUUGCAGGCAACUAUAUAAAACAAUUGAACUACUAACCUAAACAAUAACACAAGCUGCAACCUGAUGCACUAGGUUAAAUUGCAAUGGGGUGUAAAUAUUUGAUUGCACUUUCAGUAAAUAAAAGUUUUAGUCGUACAGUUUCAUCGUAUACAAGACUGCAAGUUUGCCGUUUUGAAAAAGUUGGAUUUUCAUGCGCAUAAUUUGUUAAUCUAAUUUAAUAAUGUUGUCCGUCAAAAUAACCUAUUUGAUCAAUUUAGCACAGAGGGAAUGUAAUACAAAAACCUUGGAUAAAGGCACUUGUAAUUAGCGGAAAGGAGAAAACACAUGAAAUCAUGAAGUUUACUGAUCUUAACAUUUUCAAAUAAGGAAACGGAGCUGUUGUAAAGAAAAAGGGACAAUAUUAUAGACACUUUACAUAAAGAUAAUUUAUUAGAUUUUGGUUUAAGGUAUAUUGAAAAAAAAUAUAAAAAUUGUGGUUUAUGGUACAUAGAAAAAGAAAUGUAAAAAUGGUGACCAUUUUGUUAAUGAGAAAAUUAGUGGUUGAUGCCAUAGACCACAAGAGUAUGUAUCAAACAAAAAUGUAUGAGGAAACAACAAGACAAUUAAUUGGUGGUGCAUUAUAUUUCCGCUAUAUACAAAAGCUUAAGUGGGUGUUCUAGUAUAUACAAGAGUUUAAGAAAAGAGUCAGACCACAUUUUUGCAAAAAAAAAAAUAAAAAAAAUACAGUUUUGUUUAUGUAAAUUAAAAGCACAUAGUGAAAAAUCUAUAUUUUGGGCGUAAGUACGUGUAUACAAACAAUUAAUACUAACCAACAUUCUUUCGAGACCAAAGUCACCAACAAAGUAUCAUCUUCUGCUUCUUCUUCAAUUUCCCCUUUGUAUAUCCAGUGUAGCAAAUUUGACUCCUUUUAUAGAUUACUUGUACCAUGUCACAAACGUACAUUUCUUUACAACAAUAGUAGCAAGUACAUUGAUUGUACUACAAGUAGUAAAAUGUUG
rnacentral:lncRNA from 1 species